AUUGAACGCUGGCGGCAGGCCUAACACAUGCAAGUCGAGCGAGCGGCGGACGGGUGAGUAAUGUAUGGGGACUGCCCGAUAGAGGGGGAUAACUACUGGAAACGGUAGCUAAUACCGCAUACUAUCGGAUAACCCAUAUGGGAUUAGCUAGUAGGUGAGGUAAUGGCUCACCUAGGCGACGAUCCCUAGCGGGUCUGAGAGGAUGAUCAGCACACCUGGGACGGGGACACGGCCCGGACUCCUCCGGAGGCAGCAGUGGGAAAUAUUGAACACUGGGGGCAAGCCUGAUGCAGCCAGGCGGCGUGGAUGAAGAGGGCCCUAGGGUUGUAAGGUACUUUCAGGCGGGAGGCGUUACCGACAGAAUAAGCACCGGCUAACUCCGUGCCAGCAGCCGCGGUAAUAC
rnacentral:rRNA from 1 species